rnacentral:rRNA from 1 species
UACGUGGGGGGCAAGCGUUAUCCGGAUUUACUGGGUGUAAAGGGGGCGCAGACGGCGAUGCAAGCCAGGAGUGAAAGCCCGGGGCCCAACCCCGGGACUGCUCUUGGAACUGCGUGGCUGGAGUGCAGGAGGGGCAGGCGGAAUUCCUGGUGUAGCGGUGAAAUGCGUAGAUAUCAGGAGGAACACCGGUGGCGAAGGCGGCUUACUGGACUGUAACUGACGUUGAGGCUCGAAGGCGUGGGGAGCAAACAGG